CUGGCAACUAAGAGGAGAGAGAAUGGUGAGACUUAUGGGAGGAUGGCUAACCGAGUCCCUGAGCAGAGGGAAGAGACUACGGCAUAGGAAACCCAGGAUCCUGAACAUUUUGGGAUUUCCAAAAUAAAUUGUGGGACUUUGGAGAGCAAAGAGGCUGUCUGCAUCCCUGGAAGGGGAAGAAAAGAUGUAGAACAUGCUAGAGAAGACCAGGACAGUGGGCACACACUCACUUUUCCAUUUGCUUCUCCUUCAACAACUCCUUGACAGGCUUGAUGGGUUUUCCACUGCGGAUCAAGUCUGAGACCUACAACAAAAAAGAAGUGUUACUGAAAACCAGAAUUUCUAGUAUGAAAGAAGGAAAUACUGAAGAGGAUAAGUAAAAGAAUAUUCAAGGUGAGAA